rnacentral:miRNA from 9 species
CAUUAGAGGGGUUGUGAUGUG